rnacentral:rRNA from 1 species
GACGAACGCUGGUGGCGUGCUUAACACAUGCAAGUCGAACGGUGAAAGCGGAGCUUGCUCCGCUGGAUCAGUGGCGAACGGGUGAGUAACACGUGGGCAACCUGCCCCAGACUUCGGGAUAACUCCUCGAAAGAGGUGCUAAUACCGGAUACGACGCCCCCAGGCAUCUGGGGGUUUGGAAAGUUUUUCGGUCUGGGAUGGGCCCGCGGCCUAUCAGCUUGUUGGUGAGGUAACGGCUCACCAAGGCGACGACGGGUAGCCGGCCUGAGAGGGCGACCGGCCACACUGGGACUGAGACACGGCCCAGACUCCUACGGGAGGCAGCAGUGGGGAAUAUUGCGCAAUGGGCGAAAGCCUGACGCAGCAACGCCGCGUGAGGGAUGACGGCCUUCGGGUUGUAAACCUCUUUCAGCAGGGAAGAAGCGAAAGUGACGGUACCUGCAGAAGAAGCACCGGCUAACUACGUGCCAGCCGCCGCAGUAA